rnacentral:rRNA from 1 species
UGGAUCCAGACUUUGAUUAUGGCUCAGGACGAACGCUGGCGGCGUGCUUAACACAUGCAAGUCGAACGGGGUGUUUAUUUCGGUAAACACCAAGUGGCGAACGGGUGAGUAACGCGUAAGCAAUCUACCUUCAAGAUGGGGACAACACUUCGAAAGGGGUGCUAAUACCGAAUGAAUGUAAGAGUAUCGCAUGAGACACUUACUAAAGGAGGCCUCUGAAAAUGCUUCCGCUUGAAGAUGAGCUUGCGUCUGAUUAGCUAGUUGGUGAGGGUAAAGGCCCACCAAGGCGACGAUCAGUAGCCGGUCUGAGAGGAUGAACGGCCACAUUGGGACUGAGACACGGCCCAGACUCCUACGGGAGGCAGCAGUGGGGAAUCUUCCGCAAUGGGCGAAAGCCUGACGGAGCAACGCCGCGUGAACGAAGAAGGUCUUAGGAUCGUAAAGUUCUGUUGUUAGGGACGAAGGGUAAGAAUCAUAAUAAGGUUUUUAUUUGACGGUACCUAACGAGGAAGCCACGGCUAACUACGUGCCAGCAGCCGCGGUAAUACGUAGGCGGCAAGCGUUGUCCGGAAUUAUUGGGCGUAAAGGGAGCGCAGGCGGGAAACUAAGCGGAUCUUAAAAGUGCGGGGCUCAACCCCGUGAUGGGGUCCGAACUGGUUUUCUUGAGUGCAGGAGAGGAAAGCGGAAUUCCCAGUGUAGCGGUGAAAUGCGUAGAUAUUGGGAAGAACACCAGUGGCGAAGGCGGCUUUCUGGACUGUAACUGACGCUGAGGCUCGAAAGCUAGGGUAGCGAACGGGAUUAGAUACCCCGGUAGUCCUAGCCGUAAACGAUGGAUACUAGGUGUGGGAGGUAUCGACCCCUUCCGUGCCGGAGUUAACGCAAUAAGUACCCCGCCUGGGGAGUACGGCCGCAAGGUUGCAACUCAAAGGAAUUGACGGA